AUUGAACGCUGGCGGCAGGCCUAACACAUGCGAGUCGAGCGGAGGAAGGGAGCUUGCUCCUGGAUUCAGCGGCGGACGGGUGAGUAAUGCCUAGGAAUCUGCCUGGUAGUGGGGGAUAACGUCCGGAAACGGGCGCUAAUACCGCAUACGUCCUGAGGGAGAAAGUGGGGGAUCUUCGGACCUCACGCUAUCAGAUGAGCCUAGGUCGUAUUAGCUAGUUGGUGGGGUAAAGGCCUACCAAGGCGUCGAUCCGUAACUGGUCUGAGAGGAUGAUCAGUCACACUGGAACUGAGACACGGUCCAGACUCCUACGGGAGGCAGCAGUGGGGAAUAUUGGACAAUGGGCGAAAGCCUGAUCCAGCCAUGCCGCGUGUGUGAAGAAGGUCUUCGGAUUGUAAAGCACUUUAAGUUGGGAGGAAGGGCAGUAAGUUAAUACCUUGCUGUUUUGACGUUACCAACAGAAUAAGCACCGGCUAACUUCGUG
rnacentral:rRNA from 1 species